GACAGCCUUGGCCACCAAUAUGGAGUCAGAGACCCAGGUCUUCCUAUUCCUGCUCCUUUGGAUGUCUGGUGCUGAGGGGAACAUUGUGAUGACCCAGUCUCCUGAAUUCAUAUCCACAUCUGUAGGAGACAGGAUCACCUUAAGCUGCAAGUCCAGUCAGAAUGUGGGUACUGCUGUAGCUUGGUACCAGCAGAAACCAGGGCAAUCCCCUAAACCUCUGAUCUACUGGGCAUCCAAUCGAUACACAGGGGUCCCUGAUCGCUUCACAGGCAGUGGAUCUGGAACAGAUUUCACUCUCAGCAUCAGCAGUGUGCAGGCUGAAGACCUGGCAGUUUAUUACUGUCAGCAGGGUAGCAGCUAUCCUCCCACAGUGCUUCAUCUUCCAACACAAACCUCCUAG